CCUACGGGCGGCAGCAGUGGGGAAUAUUGGACAAUGGGGGGAACCCUGAUCCAGCCAUGCCGCGUGUGUGAAGAAGGCCCUCGGGUUGUAAAGCACUUUCAGUGAGGAAGAACGCCUGGUGGUUAAUACCCAUCAGGAAAGACAUCACUCACAGAAGAAGCACCGGCUAACUCCGUGCCAGCAGCCGCGGUAAUACGGAGGGUGCGAGCGUUAAUCGGAAUUACUGGGCGUAAAGCGCGCGUAGGUGGCUUGAUAAGCCGGUUGUGAAAGCCCCGGGCUCAACCUGGGAACGGCAUCCGGAACUGUCAAGCUAGAGUGCAGGAGAGGAAGGUAGAAUUCCCGGUGCAGCGGUGAAAUGCGUAGAGAUCGGGAGGAAUACCAGUGGCGAAGGCGGCCUUCUGGACUGACACUGACACUGAGGUGCGAAAGCGUGGGUAGCAAACAGGAUUAGAUACCCCAGUAGUC
rnacentral:rRNA from 1 species